UGCGGGCAAUUACCGCUGCAGACGUCCUAACAAGGUAGCUUCGGUCCCCGGCAAGUGGAGCACGGGUGAGUAUCACGCGGAUAAUCUACCCGAUGAUCCGGGAUAACCUUUCGAAAGGAGGGUAAUACCGGGUAAGCUCACGAACUCCUCGGAGUUUGCGGGAAAAGGUGGGGACCUUCGGGCCUACGUAAUCGGAUGAGUCCGCGGCCCAUUAGCUAGGUUGGUGGGUAAUGGCCUACCAAGGCAACGAUGGGUAGCUGGUCUGAGAGGAUGAUCAGCCACACUGGAACUGAGACACGGCUCCAAGACUCUACGGGAGCCAGGCAGUGGGAUUCGACCAUUGCCAAGCCUGAUCCAGCAAUGCCGCGUGUGUGAGGAGCCUUCGGUGUAAAGCACUUUUGGCAGGAAAGGGAAUAGUGCGUGCUAAUACACGCGCGAAUGACGGUACCUGCAGAAUAAGCACCGGCUAACUACGUGCCAGCAGCCGCGGUAAGACGUAGGGUGCGAGCGUUAAUCGGAAUUACUGGGCGUAAAGCGUGCGCAGGCGGUUUUGUAAGACAGGUGUGAAAUCCCCGGGCUCAACCUGGGAACUGCACUUGUGACUGCAAGACUAGAGUGUGUCAGAGGGAGGUGGAAUUCCGCGUGUAGCAGUGAAAUGCGUAGAGAUGCGGAGGAACACCGAUGGCGAAGGCAGCCUCCUGGGAUAACACUGACGCUCAGGCACGAAAGCGUGGGGAGCAAACAGGAUUAGAUACCCUGGUAGUCCACGCCCUAAACGAUGUCAACUAGUUGUCGGGGAUUCAUUUCCUUGGUAACGCAGCUAACGCGUGAAGUUGACCGCCUGGGGAGUACGGCCGCAAGGUUAAAACUCAAAGGAAUUGACGGGGACCCGCACAAGCGGUGGAUGAUGUGGAUUAAUUCGAUGCAACGCGAAAAACCUUACCUACGCUUGACAUGUCAGGAACCUCGAAGAGAUUUGAGGGUGCCCGAAAGGGAACCUGAACACAGGUGCUGCAUGGCUGUCGUCAGCUCCGUCUCGUGAGAUUUUGGGUUAAGUCCCGCAACGAGCGCAACCCUUAUCAUUAGUUGCUACGCAAGGGCACUCUAAUGAGACUGCCGGUGACAAACCGGAGGAAGGUGGGGAUGACGUCAAGUCCUCAUGGCCCUUAUGCGUAGGGCUUCACACGUCAUACAAUGGUCGGUACAGAGGGUCGCCAACCCGCGAGGGGGAGCCAAUCCCACAAAGCCGAUCGUAGUCCGGAUUGCAGUCUGCAACUCGACUGCAUGAAGUCGGAAUCGCUAGUAAUCGCGGAUCAGCAUGUCGCGGUGAAUACGUUCCCGGGUCUUGUACACACCGCCCGUCACACCAUGGGAGUGGGUUUUGCCAGAAGUAGUUAGCCUAACCGCAAGGAGGGCCGAUACCAACGGCCAGGGGCUC
rnacentral:rRNA from 1 species